GACGAACGCUGGCGGCGUGCUUAACACAUGCAAGUCGAACGGAAAGGCCCUGCUUGCAGGGUGCUCUAGUGGCGAACGGGUGAGUAACACGUGGGUGAUCUGCCCUGCACUUCGGGAUAAGCCUGGGAAACUGGGUCUAAUACCGGGGAGGGGCCAUUUUUAUGGUGAGGGUUGGAAAGUUUUUUCGGUGGAGGAUGAGCUCGCGGCCUAUCAGCUUGUUGGUGGGGUAAUGGCUUACCAAGGCGGCGACGGGUAGCCGGCCUGAGAGGGUGGACGGCCACAUUGGGACUGAGAUACGGCCCAGACUCCUACGGGAGGCAGCAGUGGGGAAUAUUGCACAAUGGGCGGAAGCCUGAUGCAGCGACGCCGCGUGGGGGAUGACGGCCUUCGGGUUGUAAACUCCUUUCGCUAGGGACGAAGCUUUUGUGACGGUAACUAGAUAAGAAGCACCGGCUAACUACGUG
rnacentral:rRNA from 1 species